GUCUCCUUAGCUCAAUUGGGAGAGCGCCAGACUGAAGAUCUGGAGGUAUCGUGUUCGAUCCACGAAGGGGACA
rnacentral:tRNA from 9 species